rnacentral:rRNA from 1 species
GACGAACGCUGGCGGCGUGCUUAACACAUGCAAGUCGAGCGGAAAGGCCACUUCGGUGGUACUCGAGCGGCGAACGGGUGAGUAACACGUGAGUAAUCUGCCCCUGGCUUUGGGAUAGCCACCGGAAACGGUGAUUAAUACCGGAUAUGACCACUUUACGCGUGUUUGGUGGUGGAAAGUUUUUCGGCCAGGGAUGUGCUCGCGGCCUAUCAGCUUGAUGGUGAGGUAAUGGCUCACCAUGGCUUCGACGGGUAGCCGGCCUGAGAGGGUGACCGGUCACACUGGGACUGAGACACGGCCCAGACUCCUACGGGAGGCAGCAGUGGGGAAUAUUGGACAAUGGGCGGAAGCCUGAUCCAGCAACGCCGCGUGAGGGAUGACGGCCUUCGGGUUGUAAACCUCUUUCGCCUGUGACGAAGCGCAAGUGACGGUAACAGGUAAAGAAGCACCGGCCAACUACGUGCCAGCAGCCGCAGUAA